UACGUAGGUGGCAAGCGUUGUCCGGAUUUAUUGGGUUUAAAGGGCGCGUAGGCGGGUGCUCAAGUCCGGGGUGAAAUCCUCCAGCUCAACUGGAGAACUGCCUCGGAUACUGGGUGCCUCGAGGGUGGUAGGGGUAUGCGGAACUAUCGGUGGAGCGGUGAAAUGCGUUGAUAUCGAUAGGAACUCCGGUGGCGAAGGCGGCAUACUGGACCACAUCUGACGCUGAGGCGCGGAAAGCCAGGGGAGCAAACGGG
rnacentral:rRNA from 1 species